UACGUAGGGUGCGAGCGUUAAUCGGAAUUACUGGGCGUAAAGCGUGCGGUAGGUGGUUCGUUGUGUCUGUGGUGAAAGCCCCGGGCUUAACCUGGGAAUGGCAUUUGGGACUGCAAGGCUCGAGUGCGGCAGAGGAGACUGGAAUUCCUGGUGUAGCAGUGAAAUGCGUAGAUAUCAGGAGGAACACCGAUGGCGAAAGCGGCUCUCUGGCCCGGUUCUGACGCUGAGGCGCGAAAGCGUGGGGAGCAAACAGG
rnacentral:rRNA from 1 species